GAAAGCCGUAUUCGAUGAAAGUCGUAUGUACGGCUUGGAGGGAAGUCUUCUCCAUAUCUUUCGAGAUCCACCCUAC
rfam:Helianthus annuus unplaced genomic scaffold HanXRQChr00c0454, whole genome shotgun sequence.